rnacentral:tRNA from 1 species
GAAAAUCCGUCGAUUUUAGAAAUCGUGAGGGUUCAAGUCCCUCUAUCCCCAAUAAAAAUCCCCA